rnacentral:rRNA from 1 species
CCUACGGGGGGCAGCAGUGGGGAAUAUUGCGCAAUGGGCGAAAGCCUGACGCAGCGACGCCGCGUGAGGGAUGAAGGUCUUCGGAUCGUAAACCUCUGUCAGCAGGGAAGAACGGUCACUGUGCUAAUCAGCAGUGAAUUGACGGUACCUGCAAAGGAAGCACCGGCUAACUCCGUGCCAGCAGCCGCGGUAAUAAGGAGGGUGCGCGCGUUAAUCGGAAUUACUGGGCGUAAAGCGCUCGUAGGCGGUAUGUCAAGUCAAGGGUGAAAUCCCCGCGCUCAACGUGGGAACUGCCUUUGAAACUGGCAAACUGGAGUGUGUGAGAGGAUAGUGGAAUGCCAGGUGUAGGAGUGAAAGCCGUAGAUAUCUGGAGGAACAUCAGUGGCGAAGGCGACUAUCUGGCACAUAACUGACGCUGAGGAGCGAAAGCGUGGGUAGCAAACAGGAUUAGAUACCCCUGUAGUC